UAAGGAAGGGGCUAACGUUGUUCGGAAUUACUGGGCGUAAAGAGCGCGUAGGCGGCUUACCAAGUUGGGGGUGAAAUCCCGGAGCUCAACUCCGGAACUGCCUUCAAAACUGGUAGGCUCGAGUCCGGAAGAGGGGCGUGGAAUUCCCAGUGUAGAGGUGAAAUUCGUAGAUAUUGGGAAGAACACCGGUGGCGAAGGCGGCGCCCUGGUCCGGUACUGACGCUGAGGCGAGAAAGCGUGGGGAGCAAACAGG
rnacentral:rRNA from 1 species